UAACAUAGAUUGUCUUCUAAUUAGACAUUUAUGCAAGUUAAAGGACUAUGUUUGUAACAAUGCAAAGCUAGAAGGAUCUAUUACAGAAGGAUAUUUAAUAGAUUGGUGUUUAACUUUUUACUCCUAAUACUUGCAUAGAGUCGAAAGAGUAUUCAAUUGAGAUGAGAGAAAUCACAAUAGAGGUUCAGCUUCAAAUGGCCCAUAUCAACUUUCAAUAUUUCCUACACUCAUUCGUCAUUCAAGAAGAGCAAAUAUUUGUGAAUUGAAUGGCGACCUAUGGAAUGCUACUACACUUUAUGUCCUAUAUAAUUGCAAUG
rnacentral:lncRNA from 1 species